CACCGCGGUUAUACGAGAGGCCCUAGUUGCUAGCCACGGCGUAAAGGGUGGUUAAGGAAGGCAGGAAUAAAGUCAAAGGGCCUCUUGGCCGUCAUACGCUCCUGAGCGUCCGAAGUCCAGUCAAACGAAAGUAACUUUAACAAAACCCACCUGAACCCACGAAAACUGAGAAA
rnacentral:rRNA from 1 species